rnacentral:rRNA from 1 species
UACGGAGGGGGCUAGCGUUGUUCGGAAUUACUGGGCGUAAAGCGCACGUAGGCGGCUUUGUAAGUUAGAGGUGAAAGCCCGGGGCUCAACUCCGGAAUUGCCUUUAAGACUGCAUCGCUCGAAUUGUGGAGAGGUAAGUGGAAUUCCGAGUGUAGAGGUGAAAUUCGUAGAUAUUCGGAGGAACACCAGUGGCGAAGGCGGCUCACUGGCUCGGUACUGACGCUGAGGUGCGAAAGCGUGGGGAGCAAACAGG